rnacentral:lncRNA from 1 species
UCAAGUUUAAAUCUGGACCGUUCGAUCGUGAUUUAAUUAGGAUUAAAUCUGGGCCAUCCACCGCGAUGCAAUCUGGGCCGUCCGUGCGCGAGGGAACGGAUCUGGGCCGUCCGAUCGCGCGCACGCGGAUCGCCCACGUGGCCCGUCACCUGGUCAGCGUUUCCUUGCCACACGGCGCGUCCUGGUUAGCUGGGGUUACUGACCGAGCUGCUGACGUGGCUGCUGACGUAGU